rnacentral:tRNA from 1 species
CAGUGAAAAGCCAAAUAAUAGGCCUUUAAUUGUUAAUUAAAAAUUUGUAAUUAUUAUUACUUCACUGG